rnacentral:rRNA from 1 species
GAGCGUUGGCGAGCGUUAAUGGGAAUUUACUGGGUGUAAAGCGUGCUCAGUUCGAUGUUUGUUAAGUCAGAUGUGAAAUCCCCGGGCUCAACCUGGGAACUGCAUUUGGAACUGGCGAACUAGAGCUUUGUAGAGGGGGGUAGAAUUCCAGGUGUAGCGGUGAAAUGCGUAGAUAUCUGGAGGAAUACCGAUGGCGAAGGCGGCCCCCUGGACAAAGACUGACGCUCAUGCACGAAAAGG